rnacentral:rRNA from 1 species
UCCCAGUUCGGAUUGCAGGCUGCAACUCGCCUGCAUGAAGUCGGAAUUGCUAGUAAUCGCGGAUCAGCAUGCCGCGGUGAAUACGUUCCCGGGCCUUGUACACACCGCCCGUCACACCAUGAGAGUCGGGAACACCCGAAGUCCGUAGCCUAACUGCAAAGAGGGCGCGGCCGAAGGUGGGUUCGAUAAUUGGGGUGAAGUCGUAACAAGGUAAC